CUUGGUCAUUUAGAGGAAGUAAAAGUCGUAACAAGGUUUCCGUAGGUGAACCUGCGGAAGGAUCAUUACCGAGUUAGGGUCUUAUAGGCCCGACCUCCAACCCUUUGUUUACUAUACCAUGUUGCUUUGGCGGGCCCGCCUUUUGGGGCCGCCGGGGGCUUUCGUGCCCCUGGUCAGUGCCCGCCAGUAGCCUUAUUAAAUUCUUUCAUAAUUAUGUUGUCUGAGUAUAAAUAUAAAUCGUUAAAACUUUCAACAACGGAUCUCUCGGUUCUGGCAUCGAUGAAGAACGCAGCGAAAUGCGAUAAGUAAUGUGAAUUGCAGAAUUCAGUGAAUCAUCGAAUCUUUGAACGCACAUUGCGCCCUCUGGUAUUCCGGGGGGCAUGCCUGUUCGAGCGUCAUUACAACCCUCAAGCUCUGCUUGGUAUUGGAUGUCACCGGCUCCGGUGCACCUUAAAAUCAGUGGCGGUGCCAUUCGGCUUCAAGCGUAGUAAUUCUUCUCGCUUCGGAAAAGGUGACGCGCUGCCAACAACUCCUAAUUUUUCAAGGUUGACCUCGGAUCAGGUAGGGAUACCCGCUGAACUUAAGCAUAUCAAUAAGCGGAGGAA
rnacentral:rRNA from 1 species